CCUACGGGCGGCUGCAGUGGGGAAUAUUGGACAAUGGGCGAAAGCCUGAUCCAGCCAUGCCGCGUGUGUGAAGAAGGCCUUCGGGUUGUAAAGCACUUUCAGUGGGGAAGAAAGCCUUGGGGCUAAUACCCUCGAGGAAGGACAUCACCCACAGAAGAAGCACCGGCUAACUCCGUGCCAGCAGCCGCGGUAAUACGGAGGGUGCGAGCGUUAAUCGGAAUUACUGGGCGUAAAGCGCGCGUAGGCGGUCUGAUAAGCCGGUUGUGAAAGCCCCGGGCUCAACCUGGGAACGGCAUCCGGAACUGUUAGGCUAGAGUGCAGGAGAGGAAGGUAGAAUUCCCGGUGUAGCGGUGAAAUGCGUAGAGAUCGGGAGGAAUACCAGUGGCGAAGGCGGCCUUCUGGACUGACACUGACGCUGAGGUGCGAAAGCGUGGGUAGCAAACAGGAUUAGAUACCCUGGUAGUC
rnacentral:rRNA from 1 species